rnacentral:rRNA from 1 species
AUUGAACGCUGGCGGCAGGCCUAACACAUGCAAGUCGAGCGGAUGAAGGGAGCUUGCUCCUGGAUUCAGCGGCGGACGGGUGAGUAAUGCCUAGGAAUCUGCCUGGUAGUGGGGGAUAACGUCCGGAAACGGGCGCUAAUACCUCAUACGUCCUGUGGGAGAAAGUGGGGGAUCUUCGGACCUCACGCUAUCAGAUGAGCCUAGGUCGGAUUAGCUAGUUGGUGGGGUAAAGGCCUACCAAGGCGACGAUCCGUAACUGGUCUGAGAGGAUGAUCAGUCACACUGGAACUGAGACACGGUCCAGACUCCUACGGGAGGCAGCAGUGGGGAAUAUUGGACAAUGGGCGAAAGCCUGAUCCAGCCAUGCCGCGUGUGUGAAGAAGGUCUUCGGAUUGUAAAGCACUUUAAGUUGGGAGGAAGGGCAGUAAGUUAAUACCUUGCUGUUUUGACGUUACCAACAGAAUAAGCACCGGCUAACUUCGUG